UACGUAGGUGUCAAGCGUUGUCCGGAUUUAUUGGGCGUAAAGAGCUCGUAGGCGGCUUGUCGCGUCGUUCGUGAAAACUCACAGCUCAACUGUGAGCUUGCGGUCGAUACGGGCAGGCUAGAGUUCGGUAGGGGAGACUGGAAUUCCUGGUGUAGCGGUGAAAUGCGCAGAUAUCAGGAGGAACACCGGUGGCGAAGGCGGGUCUCUGGGCCGAUACUGACGCUGAGGAGCGAAAGCGUGGGGAGCGAACAGG
rnacentral:rRNA from 1 species